GCAAAAGAAAAUCAACGGAAACCCCCCUCCCAACGUGUUCUAAACUAAAUACAAGUCUCGCCAUCCUCAACCUCAAAUUGUUACACUCGCCACUCGCUACUCGUCACU
rnacentral:misc_RNA from 1 species